GCUGGCGACCAUAGCAAGAGUGAACCACCUGAUCCCUUCCCGAACUCAGAAGUGAAACCUCUUAGCGCUGAUGGUAGUGUGGGGUUUCCCAUGU
rnacentral:rRNA from 1 species